rnacentral:misc_RNA from 1 species
CAUUUACAUGCCCUGAUCCAGGGUUUCCCCCAUCCCCGCAACAGUGCGGGACUCGGUGGUUGGGAUUGUCGCCGGCGCCUGUAGUGGGCCGCUCCGGCGGGUGCAUAUGACAACAAACGUUCGGCCGGCUGGAAAGCGUUGGUCGUGAAGAAUUGCCAGACACACUGUUGGGUCCUGAGACAACAGGCCCGUUCGCUCCCCUCCUCGUGUGGGGGUGGGAGACACCCCGGUUGCGGGGUGGGGGUUGUUGUUGCCUCACGGUUUUGGUGGUGGGGUGUGGUGUUUGAUUCGUGGAUAGUGGUUGCGAGCAUCUAACGCGCGCAGUAUUGGUUGCCGGCGGCUUUCGGGUCGUUGGUUUUUCCUUCUGUGUGUGUUGAUGUGCAAUUUUGAUUCUUGUUUAUCAAUUGGUUUUUGUGCGUAAGUGU